GUUUGCGAGAAGCUUGAUGUCCAGGCCAUUGUGAUUCAGAUUUCAUAACUAUAUCACAUACUCUACAUACAGGCUGAUCGUGCUCAUUGUACCUCACAAGCGGGGAAUCAAUUCGCUUCUGCUUCUGCUCCUUCAGCUUUGCCCGGUACAAUGCUCUCUUGUCCAUUCCAAAGUUGUUAGUAGCAGAAUUGAUUAUUAGGGUUGAUAGAUUAUCGCGCUUUAAUCCUUCUCCGAUUUCAAUUCUUUGCUUCUUAAA
rnacentral:misc_RNA from 1 species